rnacentral:rRNA from 1 species
AUUGAACGCUGGCGGCAGGCCUAACACAUGCAAGUCGAACGAGUGGCGGACGGGUGAGUAAUGUCUGGGAAACUGCCCGAUGGAGGGGGAUAACUACUGGAAACGGUAGCUAAUACCGCAUACCAUCGGAUGUGCCCAGAUGGGAUUAGCUUGUAGGUGAGUGAACGGCUCACCUAGGCGACGAUCCGUAGCUGGUCUGAGAGGAGUACCAGCGACACUGGAACGUGGACACGGUCCAUCCUCCCACGGGAGGCAGCAGUGGGGAAGAUUGCACAAUGGGCGCAAGCCGGAUGCAGCCAGGCCGCGUGUAUGAAGAAGGCCUUCGGGUUGUAAAGUACUUUCAGCGGGGAGGCGUUACCCGCAGAAUAAGCACCUGCUAACUCCGUGCCAGCCGCCGCGGUAAUUC